rnacentral:rRNA from 1 species
UACGUAGGGGGCAAGCGUUGUCCGGAAUCAUUGGGCGUAAAGAGCGUGUAGGCGGCCUGGUAAGUCCGCUGUGAAAGUCCAGGGCUCAACCCUGGAAUGCCGGUGGAAACUGUCAGGCUCGAGUCCGGAAGAGGCGAGUGGAAUUCCUGGUGUAGCGGUGAAAUGCGCAGAUAUCAGGAGGAACACCAAUGGCGAAGGCAGCUCGCUGGACGGUACUGACGCUGAGACGCGAAGCGUGGGAGCAACAGAUAGAACCGUGUAG